rnacentral:rRNA from 1 species
UCAUCAUAUACUGAAUACAUAGGUAUAUGAGGGGAACCGCCUGAACUGAAACAUCUAAGUAGGGCGAGGAAGAGAAAUCAACUGAGAUUCCGUAAGUAGUGGCGAGCGAACGCGGAAGAGGCCAAACCGAGAGUAGUAAUACUUUCGGGGUUCGGACAGAAUACGGUAUUGUAAAGGUUUAGUGGAAUGGAAUGGGAAGUCCAACCGAAGAAGGUGAGAGUCCUGUACACGAAAAGCCUGAACAGCCAUCUGUAUCCAGAGUACCGCCGGACACGUGAAACCCGGUGGGAAUACGGGGGGACCAUCCUCCAAGCCUAAAUACUACUCGGUGACCGAUAGUGAAGAAGUACUGUGAAGGAAAGGUGAAAAGUACCCCUGACGGGGAGUGAAAAAGAACCUGAAACCUUGUGUUUACAAGCACCGAAAGCUCAUCAAAGAGCGAUCGGGUACCUUUUGUAGAAUGGUCCGGCGAGUGAAUGUAACCGGCGAGGUUAAGCACUUAAGGUGUGAAGCCGCAGCGAGAGCAAGUCUGAAUAGGGCGUAUGAAGUCGGUUGUAUUCGACCCGAAACCGGGUGACCUACCCAUGGUCAGGUUGAAGUAAAGGUAAAACUUUAUGGAGGACCGAACCGACUCCCGUUGAAAUGGUAGCGGAUGAACUGUGGGUAGCGGAGAAAUUCCAAUCGAACCCGGAGAUAGCUGGUUCUCUCCGAAAUAGCUUUAGGGCUAGCCUUGAAAUAGAUUACCGGAGGUAAAGCACUGAAUUGGCUAGGGGCCGAGAGGUUACUGAACCUUAUCAAACUAAGAAUGCCGGAUAAUCGUUUUUCAGGAGUCAGACAGUGGGAGAUAAGUUUCAUUGUCAAAAGGGAAACAGCCCAGACCCACAGCUAAGGUCCCCAAGUAUAGUUAAGUGGAAAAGGAUGUGGAAUUGCACAGACAACCAGGAUGUUGGCUUAGAAGCAGCCACUCAUUAAAAGAGUGCGUAAUAGCUCACUGGUCGAGUGACUCUGCGCCGAAAAUUUAACGGGGCUAAACUAUACACCGAAGCUUGGGAUACAUCUAAUGUAUGGUAGGAGAGCGUUCUGUAUGGGGAGAAGUCGUAGCGAAAGCGGCGGUGGACUAUACAGAAGUGAGAAUGCCGGAAUAAGUAGCGAGAAUUAAGUGAGAAUCUUAAUGGCCGAAAGUCUAAGGUUUUUGGAGGAAGGUUCGUCCGCUCCAAGUAAGUCGGGAGCUAAGGUCAGGCCGAAAGGCGUAGCCGAUGCACAUACGGUUGAUAUUCCGUAACCAUCUGUAAUUUAAGCAAAGGGACACUUCAAAAGGGUGUGACCCGGGCGUUGGUUGACCCGGGCGUAAGGGACCGAAAUUAGAGUAGGGAAGCACACUUAGCUGAAGGCGAGAAAAGCUUUGCGUAUAGAAACAGAUGCCCGUACCGCAAACCGACACAGGUGGACAGGAAGAGAAUUCUAAGGCCAGCGGGAGAAGGGUAGUUAAGGAACUCGGCAAAUUGACUCCGUAACUUCGGAAUAAGGAGUGCUCGAAAGAGCCGCAGAGAAUAGGCCCAGGCGACUGUUUAGCAAAAACACAGGUCUCUGCCAAAUCGAAAGAUGAAGUAUAGGGGCUGACACCUGCCCGGUGCCGGAAGGUUAAGAGGAGGAGUGAGAGCUCCGAAUUGAAGCCCCGGUAAACGGCGGCCGUAACUAUAACGGUCCUAAGGUAGCGAAAUUCCUUGUCGGGUAAGUUCCGACCCGCACGAAUGGUGUAACGAUCUGGGCACUGUCUCAACUACCCACCCGGCGAAAUUGUAGUACCGGUGAAGAUGCCGGUUACCUGCGGCAAGACGGAAAGACCCCAUGGAGCUUUACUGUAGCCUGAUAUUGGGUUUCGGAAAUCUAUGUACAGGAUAGGCGGGAGACUGGGAAACAUGAGCGUCAGCUUGUGUGGAGUCGAUGUUGGGAUACCGCCCUUAGGUUUCUGGAAUUCUAACCUGCGGCCGUGAAUCCGGUCGGGGGACAUUGUCAGGUGGGCAGUUUGACUGGGGCGGUCGCCUCCGAAAAGGUAACGGAGGCGCUCAAAGGUUAGCUCAGCACGGACGGAAACCGUGCCUCUGAGUGUAAACGCAAAAGCUAGCCUAACUGCGAGGGUGACGGCCCGAGCAGUAACGAAAGUUGGAGUUAGUGAUCCGGCGGUAUGUGAAUGGAAAUGCCGUCGCUCAACGGAUAAAAGCUACCCUGGGGAUAACAGGCUGAUCUCCCCCA